rnacentral:rRNA from 1 species
GACGAACGCUGGCGGCGUGCCUAAUACAUGCAAGUAGAACGCUGAAGGAGGAGCUUGCUCUUCUGGAUGAGUUGCGAACGGGUGAGUAACGCGUAGGUAACCUGCCUGGUAGCGGGGGAUAACUAUUGGAAACGAUAGCUAAUACCGCAUAACAGUAGAUGUUGCAUGACAUUUGCUUAAAAGGUGCAAUUGCAUCACUACCAGAUGGACCUGCGUUGUAUUAGCUAGUUGGUGGGGUAACGGCUCACCAAGGCGACGAUACAUAGCCGACCUGUGAGGGGGAUCGGCCACACUGGGACUGAGACACGCCCCAGACUCCUACGGGAGGCAGCAGUAGGGAAUCUUCGGCAAUGGACGGAAGUCUGACCGAGCAACGCCGCGUGAGUGAAGAAGGUUUUCGGAUCGUAAAGCUCUGUUGUAAGAGAAGAACGAGUGUGAGAGUGGAAAGUUCACACUGUGACGGUAUCUUACCAGAAAGGGACGGCUAACUACGUG